rnacentral:lncRNA from 1 species
CGUGAUCAUGAGGGGUUGUGAAGUGCUUGCCCCAUCAGUAGCCAUGUGUGCAUGUGUAAAUACCAUCCUCUGUGUGCCCUGGAGGCUGUCCUUCAGAUAGCAUGUACAGGUGGCAGCAUAGGGCCUGUCCCUAGUGAGAGUGCAGGGAACUCAGCACCGUCAACUCCUCGACCCUGCAGGUCAGAUUAUCCUUGUAGAGGCCCCCUGGAUGGCACCAAGAUCGGCCCUGGCAAGCAGGUGACCCUGACUUCAGAGCCCUUGCCUGAGGGCCUGGCCUGGCAGCUCUGCUGUUAGAAGCAGGAGGUGUGCAGGGGGUGGGGAGCAGCCCAGCCUCUGUGAUCUUCUCCAUGGCAGGAUCUCCCAGCAGGUAGAGCAGAGCCGGAGCCAGGUGCAGGCCAUUGGAGAGAAGGUCUCCUUGGCCCAGGCCAAGAUUGAGAAGAUCAAGGGCAGCAAGAAGGCCAUCAAGGUAGUCCCCAUGCCCCUGUGUCCUGAGGCUACUGGGCAGUCCCUCUAUUUCCCCGUGCCUCUGAGGCUGCCCAGUCUCUGCCCUGCUGCCCACCUGUACCUUGGGCUUUCUUCUCGCCCAGGCUUCCAACUCCACCCUCUCCUGCCAAGCAAUCCUAGCCCUCUGAGCCUCUUGGGGCCCCCUCAGACUUGUCCCUGUGUCCACAGGUGUUCUCCAGUGCCAAGUACCCUGCUCCAGAGCGCCUGCAGGAAUAUGGCUCCAUCUUCACCGACGCCCAGGACCCUGGCCUGCAGAGACGCCCCCGCCACAGGAUCCAGAGCAAGCAGCGCCCCCUGGACGAGCGGGCCCUGCAAGUCUGCUGGCUGCGCACAUAACUUAGCCUGUCACACACCAGGAGGACUGGAUACUGGGGAGGAGCCGGGGCCACCAAGGGUUCUGUCCCCCAGAGGAGGCUGACUGGGAUGGGGUGGCAGCUGAUUAGGCCCAGCACCAAAUAUUCACCAUCCCUUGGCCAUCCUGGCCCUCCCAGGAGAAGCUGAAGGACUUUCCUGUGUGCGUGAGCACCAAGCCAGAGCCCGAGGACGAUGCAGAAGAGGGACUUGGGGGUCUUCCCAGCAACAUCAGCUCUGUCAGCUCCUUGCUGCUCUUCAACACCACCGAGAACCUGUAUGGCCAGAAGGCAGGGCCGAGGGGUGUGGGCGGUAGGCCCGGCCUGGCUUAGUGGGGACCCAGGGCAUCAGACACAGGUACAGCACAUAGCCCAGGAGCCAGGGGGUGACUGGGGUGGCUCGGCUCGGGAGGCCUGGGACCCCACAGUGCACACUGUGCCCCUGAUGAUGUGGGAGAGGAACAUGGGCUCAGGACAGCGGGUGUCAGCUUGCCUGACCCCCAUGUCGCCUCUGUAGGUACAAGAAGUAUGUCUUCCUGGACCCCCUGGCUGGUGCUGUAACAAAGACCCAUGUGAUGCUGGGGGCAGAGACAGAGGAGAAGCUGUUUGAUGCCCCCUUGUCCAUCAGCAAGAGAGAGCAGCUGGAACAGCAGGUGGGAGGGGCGGGACAGAGGUGGAGAUAGGUGCAGUGGCCCAGGGCCUUGCCAGAGCUCCUCUCCAGUCAAGGCUGUUGGGCCCCUUAUUCCACCCAUGGGAGGUGCACACAAGGUCUUGUUGGCUGCCCCUGCAGGUCCCUGUCACCUCUCACAUGUCCCUGCCUAAUCUUGCAGGUCCCAGAGAACUACUUCUAUGUGCCAGACCUGGGCCAGGUGCCUGAGAUUGAUGUUCCAUCCUACCUGCCUGACCUGCCCGGCAUUGCCAACGACCUCAUGUACAUUGCCGACCUGGGCCCCGGCAUUGCCCCCUCUGCCCCUGGCACCAUUCCAGAACUGCCCACCUUCCACACUGAGGUAGCCGAGCCUCUCAAGACCUACAAGAUGGGGUACUAACACCACCCCCACCGCCCCCACCACCACCCCCAGCUCCUGAGGUGCUGGCCAGUGCACCCCCACUCCCACCCUCAACCGCGGCCCCUGUAGGCCAAGGCGCCAGGCAGGACGACAGCAGCAGCAGCGCAUCUCCUUCAGGUGGGAGCAGCUCUUUGAGGCCACCUGAUUUCUGGCGUGCUCAGUGCACUCGGGUGGAUUUUCUGUGGGUUUGUUAAGUGGUCAGAAAUUCUCAAUUUUUUGAAUAGUUUCCAUUUCAAAUAUCUUGUUCUACUUGGUUCAUAAAAUAGUGGCUUUCAAACUGUAGAGCUCUGGACUUCUCACUUCUAGGGCAGAGGGAGCCUGAACAAGUGAGGCUCUGGGUUCCUCAUUCCUAAUUAAACCAAUGGAAAGAAGGGGUCUAAUAACAAACUACAGCAACACAUUUUUCAUUUCAGCUUCACUGCUGUAUCUCCCAGUGUAACCCUAGCAUCCAGAAGUGGCACAAAACCCCUCUGCUGGCUCAUGUGUGCAACUGAGACUGUCAGAGCAUGGCUAGCUCAGGGGUCCAGCUCUGCAGGGUGAGGGCUAGAGAGGAAGCAGGGAGUAUCUGCACACAGGAUGCCCGCGCUCAGGUGGUUGCCGAAGUCAGUGCCCGGGCCCCACACAGUCUCCAAAGGUCCGGCCUCCCCAGCGCGGGGCUCCUCGUUUGAGGGGAGGUGACUUCCCUCCCAGCAGGCUCUUGGACACAGUAAGCUUCCCCAGCCCUGCCUGAGCAGCCUUUCCUCCUUGCCCUGUUCCCCACCUCCCGGCUCCAGUCCAGGGAGCUCCCAGAGAAGUGGUCGACCCCUCCGGUGGCUGGGCCACUCUGCUAGAGUCCAUCCGCCAAGCUGGGGGCAUCGGCAAGGCCAAGCUGCGCAGCAUGAAGGAGCGAAAGCUGGAGAAGCAGCAGCAGAAGGAGCAGGAGCAAGGUGAGCGGGCCCUGGAGCCUGCGGUCGGAGGGCCUUUGGGCAAGAUCGCCUCCUCCCCUCCAGCCCUGAGUCCACCGGGUGCUUUCUGCCCACCCCCUGCUCCUGCCAGCUGGCCCCUGCUUCCCCUAGGGCACAUGCUGGAAGCCCUGGGCCGCCACCAGAGGUCCUCAGCCCUCCUGCCUGGGCUAUGGCUCCUUCCUGGUUUGGGAGCCAUAGUGGAGCUUUCCUCUCUAAGCUCACCCAGCUCAAACUGUGACAGGAGAAUCUUCUUCGACUGCCAAGAGCGGUCCAAGGCAAUGGUCAGCCACUGCAGCCUCCUGAGAUAUUUUUAGAGACUGGACCUGAGGCCUCUGGAGGCUACUGAUGAUGCCUGCUGUGAACGCAGACACUGGUGUGAUGCGAUGCCUGCGCCUGCAGCGGCAGUGCCCUGGGCACUAUGGUUUUGAGCUUGUACCCAGCGCUGCUUUUGCCUUGCUCUGUGACCCCAGGCAAGCUGCCUCACCUCUCUGGGCCAGUUUCCCCAUCGUACAGUGGUGCUGCACACCCUGGCCCUGUCCCCGAGGUGGCUGGGAGGUGGCUCCUCAAACAGCCACUUUCUCAUCAGUGCCCGGUGCUGGGUCAGGCAUCGACUGAGGCUCUGAGCUAACUAGGAAACACAGUGGCCUUGGAGGGCUGGGGAGUGUCAUGGGGGUGGGGACAGGGAGCCACCGGUCGCAUGUGACUGAACUCUUCACCCCAGUCUGUGGCUUUCCCGUUGCAGUGAGAGCCACGAGCCAAGGUGGGCACUUGAUGUCGGAUCUCUUCAACAAGCUGGUCAUGAGGCGCAAGGGUAGGAGGCAGGGCCGCUGCCCACCCUGGGCCGGCACAUUGUAAUUCUGUCCUGCCUUUUUCUUCCUGUAUUUAAGUCUCCGGGGGCUGGGGGAACCAGGGUUUCCCACCAACCACCCUCACUCAGCCUUUUCCCUCCAGGCAUCUCUGGGAAAGGACCUGGGGCUGGUGACGGGCCCGGAGGAGCCUUUGCCCGCGUGUCAGACUCCAUCCCUCCUCUGCCGCCACCGCAGCAGCCACAGGCAGAGGACGAGGACGACUGGGAAUCGUAGGGGGCUCCAUGACACCUUCCCCCCCAGACCCAGACUUGGCCGUUGCUCUGACAUGGACACAGCCAGGACAAGCUGCUCAGACCUGCUUCCCUGGGAGGGGGUGACGGAACCAGCACUGUGUGGAGACCAGCUUCAAGGAGCGGAAGGCUGGCUUGAGGCCACACAGCUGGGGCGGGGACUUCUGUCUGCCUGUGCUCCAUGGGGGGACGGCUCCACCCAGCCUGCGCCACUGUGUUCUUCUCUUAAGAGGCUUCCAGAGAAAACGGCACACCAAUCAAUAAAGAACUGAGCAG